rnacentral:rRNA from 1 species
GAUGAACGCUGGCGGCGUGCCUAAUACAUGCAAGUCGAACGCUUCACUUCGGUGAAGAGUGGCGAACGGGUGAGUAAUACAUAAGUAACCUGGCAUCUACAGGGGGAUAACUGAUGGAAACGUCAGCUAAGACCGCAUAGGUGUAGAGAUCGCAUGAACUCUAUAUGAAAAGUGCUACGGGACUGGUAGAUGAUGGACUUAUGGCGCAUUAGCUGGUUGGUAGGGUAACGGCCUACCAAGGCGACGAUGCGUAGCCGACCUGAGAGGGUGACCGGCCACACUGGGACUGAGACACGGCCCAGACUCCUACGGGAGGCAGCAGUAGGGAAUUUUCGGCAAUGGGGGAAACCCUGACCGAGCAACGCCGCGUGAAGGAAGAAGUAAUUCGUUAUGUAAACUUCUGUCAUAGAGGAAGAACGGUGGAUAUAGGGAAUGAUAUCCAAGUGACGGUACU